rnacentral:rRNA from 1 species
AUUGAACGCUGGCGGCAGGCCUAACACAUGCAAGUCGAGCGGAAACGAGUUAUCUGAACCUUCGGGGAACGAUAACGGCGUCGAGCGGCGGACGGGUGAGUAAUGCCUAGGAAAUUGCCCUGAUGUGGGGGAUAACCAUUGGAAACGAUGGCUAAUACCGCAUAAUGCCUACGGGCCAAAGAGGGGGACCUUCGGGCCUCUCGCGUCAGGAUAUGCCUAGGUGGGAUUAGCUAGUUGGUGAGGUAAUGGCUCACCAAGGCGACGAUCCCUAGCUGGUCUGAGAGGAUGAUCAGCCACACUGGAACUGAGACACGGUCCAGACUCCUACGGAGGCAGCAGUGGGGAAUAUUGGACAAUGGGGGCAACCCUGAUCCAGCAAUGCCACGUGUGUGAAGAAGGCCUGAGGGUUGUAAAGCACUUUAGUCAGGGAGAAGGUUCAUAUGUUAAUAGCAUAUGGAAUUGACGUUACCUGAAGAAUAAGCACCGGC